rnacentral:rRNA from 1 species
CCUACGGGCGGCUGCAGUAGGGAAUCUUCCACAAUGGGCGAAAGCCUGAUGGAGCAACGCCGCGUGGGUGAAGAAGGUCUUCGGAUCGUAAAACCCUGUUGUUAGAGAAGAAAGUGCGUGAGAGUAACUGUUCACGUUUCGACGGUAUCUAACCAGAAAGCCACGGCUAACUACGUGCCAGCAGCCGCGGUAAUACGUAGGUGGCAAGCGUUAUCCGGAUUUAUUGGGCGUAAAGGGAACGCAGGCGGUCUUUUAAGUCUGAUGUGAAAGCCUUCGGCUUAACCGGAGUAGUGCAUUGGAAACUGGGAGACUUGAGUGCAGAAGAGGAGAGUGGAACUCCAUGUGUAGCGGUGAAAUGCGUAGAUAUAUGGAGGAACACCAGUGGCGAAGGCGGCUCUCUGGACUGUAACUGACGCUGAGGUUCGAAAGCGUGGGUAGCAAACAGGAUUAGAUACCCCUGUAGUC